UGGGGGCUUCCAUGCAGUCGAGCGGUAACACGUAUAGCUUGCUUUCCGGUGACGAGCGGCGGACGGGUGAGUAAUGUCUGGGAAACUGCCUGAUGGAGGGGGAUAACUACUGGAAACGGUAGCUAAUACCGCAUAAUGUCUCAAGACCAAAGAGGGGGACCUUCUGUCCUCAUGCCAUCGGAUGUGCCCAAAUGGGAUUAGCUAGUAGGUGGGGUAAUGGCUCACCAAGGCGACGAUCCCUAGCUGGUCUGAGAGGAUGACCAGCCACACUGGAACUGAGACACGGUCCAGACUCCUACGGGAGGCAGCAGUGGGGAAUAUUGCACAAUGGGCGCAAGCCUGAUGCAGCCAUGCCGCGUGUGUGAAGAAGGCCUUCGGGUUGUAAAGUACUUUCAGCGGGGAGGAAGGCGUUAAGGUUAAUAACCUUGGCGAUUGACGUUACCAGCAGAACAAGCACCGGCUAACUCCGUGCCAGCAGCCGCGGUAAUACGGAGGGUGCAAGCGUUAAUCGGAAUUACUGGGCGUAAAGCGCACGCAGGCGGUCUGUCAAGUUGGAUGUGAAAUCCCCGGGCUCAACCUGGGAACUGCAUUUGAAACUGUCCAGCUAGAGUCUUGUAGAGGGGGGUAGAAUUCCAGGUGUAGCGGUGAAAUGCGUAGAGAUGUGGAGGAAUACCGGUGGCGAACGCGGCCCCCUGGACAAGACUGACGCUCAAGUGCGAAAGCGUGGGGAGCAAACAGGAUUACAUACCCUGGUAGUCCACGCCGAAACGAUGUCGAUUUGGAGGUUGUGCCCAUGAGCGUGCUUCCAGAGCUAACGCGUUAAAUCGACCGCCUGGGGGAGUACGGCCGCAAGCUCAAAACUCAUAUGAAUUGACCGGGGGCCCCGCACAAGCGUGAGCAUGUGGUUUUAAUUCGAUGCAACAGGAAAAACCCUAACUGAUCUUGACAUCCCAGUAACUUACAAAGAUGGCUCGAUGCAUCAGGAAACUCUGAAACAGGUCCUGCCAUGCGGUCGUCAGCUCUGUUAGUAAUGUAAUCAAUCCCGACAGAGCCCUAACCAUUACC
rnacentral:rRNA from 1 species